rnacentral:rRNA from 1 species
UACAGAGAUGGCGAGCGUUACUCGGAUUUAUUGGGUGUAAAGGGCAGGUAGGCGUUUUGUCAAGUUAGAAGUGAAAUCCUAAGGCUUAACCUUAGAACUGCUUCUAAAACUGACGAAAUUGAGAUCGGUAGAGGAAAGCGGAAUUCCCGGUGUAAGGGUGAAAUCUGUAGAUAUCGGGAGGAACACCAGUGGCGAAGGCGGCUUUCUGGACCGAUUCUGACGCUGAGCUGCGAAAGCUCGGGGAG